rnacentral:rRNA from 1 species
GCGGCAGGCCUAACACAUGCAAGUCGAGGGGUAACAGAGAGAAGCUUGCUUUUCUGCUGACGACCGGCGCACGGGUGAGUAACGCGUAUACAAUCUGCCUUAUACAGAGGGAUAGCCUUUAGAAAUGAAGAUUAAUACCUUAUAGUCUAUUUUUAUAGCAUUAUAUAAAUAGUAAAGCUUCGGUGGUAUAAGAUGAGUAUGCGUCCUAUUAGUUAGUUGGUAAGGUAACGGCUUACCAAGACAACGAUAGGUAGGGGCCCUGAGAGGGGGAUCCCCCACACUGGUACUGAGACACGGACCAGACUCCUACGGGAGGCAGCAGUGAGGAAUAUUGGACAAUGGAGGCAACUCUGAUCCAGCCAUGCCGCGUGCAGGAAGACGGCCCUAUGGGUUGUAAACUGCUUUUAUAUAGGAAGAAACCUUUUCACGUGUGAGAAGCUGACGGUACUAUAAGAAUAAGGACCGGCUA